rnacentral:tRNA from 1 species
GCGGUCGUGGCGGAAUUGGUUAGACGCACCAGAUUUAGGUUCUGGCGCCGCAAGGUGUGAGAGUUCAAGUCUCUCCGACCGCACCA